AUUGAACGCUGGCGGCAGGCCUAACACAUGCAAGUCGAGCGGAGCGGCGGCCGGGUGAGUCAUGCCUAGGCAUCUGCCUGGUAGUGGGGGAUAACGUCCGGAAACGGGCGCUAAUCCCGCAUACUCUCAGAUGAGCCUAGGUCGGAUUCGCUAGUUGGUGGGGGAAAGGCCUACCUAGGCGACGAUCCCUAGCUGGUCUGAGAGGAGGAUCAGCCACACUGGGACUGAGACACGGCCCAGAUUCCUACGAGAGGCAGCAGUGGGGAAUAUUGCACAAUGGGCGCAAGCCUGAUGCAGCCAUGCCGCGUGUAUGAAGAAGGCCCUAGGGUUGUAAAGUACUUUCAGUCGGGAGGCGUUACCGACAGAAGAAGCACCGGCUAACUCCGUGCCAGCAGCCGCGGUAAUUC
rnacentral:rRNA from 1 species